GUGAGUGUAGCUCAGUCGGUAGAGCACCGGGUUGUGGCCCCGGUGGUCGAGGGUUCAAGUCCCUUCACUCACCCCA
rnacentral:tRNA from 1 species